GAAUAUUGGACAAUGGGCGAAAGCCUGAUCCAGCAAUGCCGCGUGCAGGAUGAAGGCCUUCGGGUUGUAAACUGCUUUUGUACGGAACGACAAGCAUUGGGGUAAUACUCUGGAGUCCUGACGGUACCGUAAGAAUAAGACCCGGCUAACCACUUGCCAGCCGCCGCGGUAACACGAAGGGUGCCAGCGUUAAUCGGAAUUACUGGGGGUAAAGCGUGCGCAGGCGGUUUUGUAAGACAGAGGUGAGAUCCCCGGGCUCAACCUGGGAACUGCCUUUGUGACUGCAAGGCUAGAGUACGGCGGAGGGGGGUGGAAUUCGGCGUGUAGCAGUGAAAUGAGUAGAUAUGCGGAGGAACACCGAUGGCGAAGGCAACCCCCUGGGCCUGUACUGACGCUCAUGCACGAAAGCGUGGGGAGCAAACA
rnacentral:rRNA from 1 species